CUGCUAGUAAGAAGGUAAGGAGACGAGUGGACCAGCAGAUGCUAGGGGACAGUCCUUAGAAAGCGUUGAGCAAGCGCAUCAUUAGAUGCAUUUAUGUCAAGCUCAGGGUGCUGUCUGCAUAGUAUGCCCUUAGUUGGCCAGCUGCAUGAUUGGCAGGCAGCCUGACAUGCAUUCAUACCAGGCUGGCCUUCUAAUUCUUUGGGCAGACAUAUCCUCUUUUUGGGCAUGUUCGCCCCUUUUGGGUACAGGAGACAG